GGGGGUGAGUUUGGAAACUCAGUGUACAACAAGCCCCUUUUAGAGCCCAAAACAGUAAUAGCCUGUUGCACCUAAGCCCAAAUCCAAUCUCAACAUGUACUGGGUCGUAGCCCUUUUCAUAUUUCAUAUUUCAUAACACUGGGCCAAAGCCUUUUCAUAUUUCACAUUAUUGGGCCGAAGCCUUUACUGUAAACGGUAUGGCCCAUAGGCCCAUUUCAGUAUCACAUGUAAUGCCAAUGAGAGAAUGCAAGCCCAUUUGGGGAGACUACUCAACCCACCAUCCGCU
rnacentral:lncRNA from 1 species